AGAUCCUAAACAUAUGGCAACAUGGAUGAACCUUGAAGAUAAUGCUGGUGAAACAGCCCAUCUCUGCAAAUAAACUGAUCAACCUCCCCCGAGACAUGGGACAGGACCCCCCAGGUUUGCUGCUCAAAUGGUUAAACAGAAGUUCAAUUCCUUUACCCUGGAAUCUAUCUGACUUUCAUCUGGCCAUGUCUGACUCACCAUCAGUUACU